AGCAUGUGGUUAAUUCGAUGAUACGCGAGGAACCUUACCUGGGCUCGAACGUAAGAUGACUGUAGGUGAAAGCUUACAUCUCUUCGGAGCAUUUUACGAGGUGCUGCAUGGUUGUCGUCAGCUCGUGCCGUGAGGUGUCGGGUUAAGUCCCAUAACGAGCGCAACCCUACCUUUAGUUGCCAUCAGGUAAUGCUGGGGACUCUAAAGGAACUGCCUACGCAAGUAGUGAGGAAGGCGGGGAUGACGUCAAAUCAGCACGGCCCUUACGUCCAGGGCUACACACGUGCUACAAUGGCCGAUACAGAGGGCAGCUACCUGGUGACAGGAUGCAAAUCUCCAAAGUCGGUCUCAGUUCGGAUCGGAGUCUGCAACCCGACUCCGUGAAGUUGGAUUCGCUAGUAAUCGCGCAUCAGCCAUGGCGCGGUGAAUACGUUCCCGGGCCUU
rnacentral:rRNA from 1 species